UACAACCAUUACGCCAGCAUCCUAGCCGAAGCGCGGACCUCAGUCCCGGCUGGCCGUAUUACACCCUGGGCUAUAACACCUCCACCGAAGUGGAGGCCACAUUCCCAGAGCCUUUAUCCGGCCGCCGAAACUGAUGCUGGCCUGUCCAAACUGAGUAAACCGGUCAGAAGACCGGCCGAACAGUUUAAACAAGUCUGAUUGCAAGCGCUUCCCUUUCAACAAUUUCACGUGCUUUUUAACUCUCUUUCCAAAGUGCUUUUCAUCUUUCGAUCACUCUACUUGUGCGCUAUCGGUCUCUCGCCAAUAUUUAGCUUUAGAAGAAAUUUACCUCCCAUUUAGAGCUGCAUUCCCAAACAACUCGACUCGUCGAAGGAGAUUUACAUAGGGUGCCAUUUCCUGUCACAUACGGGAUUCUCACCCUCUAUGACGUCCUGUUCCAAGGAACUUAGACAGGCGGCUUCCCCAAAUCAUCCUCUACAAAUUACAAUGCGAACCCGAAGGCUAGCUUUCAAAUUUGAGCUGUUGCCGCUUCACUCGCCGUUACUAGGGCAAUCCCUG
rnacentral:rRNA from 1 species